CACUUUCUUUAAGCCCUGUUCCUAAUUUUACUCUUCUAUGUCACACAGCUUGUUUGUUUCUUGGGUCUCUCUGUGUAUAUAUCAUUUUUGCCUUCUCCAUUUUUCUUUGUUUGGUUUUUUCUUUGCUCAAUCACAUUCUUUUGAAAUCUUCAGUUUAUUUUGCUUCACUGCGUUCUGCCCGUUGCCGGUGAGUUUCGAUUCUAGUUUUUGAGUUUUGGGAUUUCUUUUAGUUGAUUUCUAUUUGAUUAAUUUGAUAUUCUUUCAGAUUUGUUGGUUUUUUCUGGUAUUUAGGUUAUAAUCAUUCUACAUGCAUCGAAUUUUCACUUUAUUGACAAUGUCAUCUCCAUGGUUAGCUUCUUUUACAACUUAAGUAUACCCUCUGUUGUGUCUAUUCUCCGUGGUUUUCCCUUUUUAUGGGUCUUUUGAUUAAAUUUUUAUUUUUUAAUUUUGGAUCUUUAUUCAGAUUUAGUGUUUCUUCUCUUUGUCCUUGACGUGGGUAUUUUCCCCAAAAAAAUUGUUGAUUCUCAUGUGUAUGCACUUACAUUUACUAUAAGGUGAAAGCAAACAAUUGCAAAAUAUAGUUACUAGGAAGCAGCAGCCGAAGUUUCAUAUCUCAAAAUUUGCUCUACCGGAAAAAUUGCCAUACAGUGUAGUGCGGGUAAUCUCAAGUUUAAUUUUAUGUUUUAAUCAUAUAUUGGAAUUAGCUGCUGCAUUUAAUUAUGUGUCUCAAUAUAUCUUAGAUUUUUUCAAGUACAUGGUUCUUAUUUUUCAAUAUACAUGUUGGUUCUGCUCUUUAGUCUUUUUAAAUUUUUGGGUGAAAAUAGUUGAUAUCUAUUAUUGUCGUCGUACUUCUAAACUUUUACCUGUUAUAAAGACAAAAAGACAAUAUAAUUUUUAGUUUGAUAAGGCUGACAUUGAUCUUUGUGACAUAGGGUCAGACGAACAACAAAUAAAUCUAUGAAUUAUAAUUAGUUUGAGAUAGAUUUUGAAGAUGUUGUACUCCAAGAAUGUGUAGAAAUAUGUAACUAAAAUAAAGAGAAAAAUAAUCAGCUUUAUUUCAUUUAGUAUAUUUAUGGUGUUACAUUUGGCCUAUUAAACACUACAGACAAACAGCUCCAUUUGCUUACUUUUUUACAACUUUGAUAAAACAGCAAAAGUUGAUUUAAGGCUAAGUCAGUUGAUUAUUAGGCGUUCCUACGAUGCGCAUGACAUGCAUAUGCUUACAAAUAUACAUGACUUAAUAUGGUACAAGACAAGCCAAAAAUGAUUCAACUCAUCAUCGUUUCAGCCUCCAUUCCAUCGGUUAAAACACCAUAGAAAAACUUAUGUCAGUCUUGUAUUUUUUUAAGAAAAAGAUGAUGUGAGUUGGUAUGUAUCACCACGUGGUCAGUUUAUGAAGAAAGGUAAUAAGUUAUAGUUUGAAUUACCUCGAUAAGUACGGUGGCCAUCAAAAGAUGUAUACACAAUUUACAAACUCAAUAUCGAGUUGCAAUUUGUUACAUACUUCCAGCUGAAUUUCUUUGACAAAUAAGACAAUAAAGGUAAGGUAAGUUGGUAUGAACAAUAUAAUUGAGUACAAAGAGUAUUUGUAUGCUGCUUAAACAAAUAAAACACAAAUAAGAAAAUUAUUGCACCAAAAAUGCACUAAUAUCGCCCAUUUACCCUGCAUCAGUUGCCCGUUAAAAAAGAGACGUCCUUUUACACGACAUCGAUUUGUUAUUUACUAAAUCCAGAAAAGAGGAGUUUUCUAUUAAGUCUUAUUCGUUUUGUUUCCAUUUUAUGUUGUUUUGCCAACCAAGAAGCCUAAAAUACUUUCUGAAACUUUUCAGGAAGCAAAGUAGCUACAUCACACGUAUGUAAAACCUUGCAGUAUAUUCUUGGAUAUAGUGGUCUCAAAACAAAAGGUACGUUUUUAUGGCUAUGAAUUCAUAAAAAGACAUCCGACAAGGUCAUCAACUAUUUGAAUUCUCAUUUAUCUAGAUGCAAAUAUAAAGUUUGCAACGUUUAAACAAGAGAUUGGAAUAAGCAUGUUUGGGGAGAGAAAAAGGAAUAAAUGAUCCAAGAGACCCCAUAUUCCUAUCUUGACAACUACUUUUCUGUUUAUUCAGUCAAUUACAGAUGACUACUCUGUUACAGGUAGACUACUGGACCAUAAAGUCAAACAGUCAAUAACUCGGCCUAGGAGUGUUUGAACUAGAGGAUCUUUUAUGAUCUACCAUCAGGAACUCAAUCCAAAAGUGUUUGAACUAGACUAUCUUUCUUGAUCUACCAUCUAACUUAAAAAAAAUUUCCUGAGUUUUUCUAUUUUUAAAAUAGGCAAAUAUGUGAUGAUUUUUUGCUUCAAAUGCUAUCGAUCCAAAAGAUAAAAUAUAUUAUGCUGGUAAUACAAGAAAAUAUGGUCAUUAAUGACACAAUAAUUAGUAUUUUUCUUCUUUUUAAAACAGAAAGUAUCAUUUUCCCUAUUUUAUAAAUUUAGUGUAAAUGCGACGAUUAAAGUCUCAUUCUAUUUUGGUGUUUUCUCCUGAGAGAUGAGUUUGACUUGAUUUUUCCUCAAAGAUUAAAGUGAGUUGCAUUUUUGAGGGAAAUACUUAUUCGAAUGAACAUAUUUUCUUGAAAAAUAAUUGUUUCUUGAGCGAAUUCUCGAUUUAGCUGAAGAGUUUAAUGGUGAGUUUGAUCUUCCCUUCAAAGAUGAAUCUUGAAGAGGCCGUGAUGAUAAUUGCUUUCCUGAGCUAUAAAAUUAUUUGAAAACAGAGACAAUCAAACCCUUAUAUAUCUUGGCAUGGUAAAACCACAAUAGUAUGUGAUUUGAGGCUUUUCUAUCACAUGCAAUAGUUUCUCGCCCUAUAAGAAAAAAAAUUGAGUCUCAAUUGUUUUCUUGUUAAGUUCUUGUUGGACUCUUAAAAAUAUAGACCUACGGAUUGCGAUUACUAUAUUUCAUCUGUGUGCAUUUUAGUAAAUGUUAAUUCCACCCUGGUGGAUAAGUCUUGAUGGUUGGAUAUUAUCAUUAUUUGAGGUUCUUACCUCUUUGUUUCUUUUCCAUCUACAAAUUACUUAGUUAGCCAUUGAGAAGCAUCUUAGUGAAAGGUGCAUUUUGCAUUAACUAGAUUGGUGUUUCUAGAUCUAUUAUCAAGUAGUCAUUGAGAAUAAGGUGAAACUAAAGUUUACAUAUCUGGAAAACGAGAAUUCACAACUAUUGCGGCUGGCGCAAUGCUACCGUGAUACCAGUAAGUAACAUUGAUUACCGAAGUCUUAUCGAUGUAUAUAUAAAGCAUUAGCGAUACCAUUCACAUUCAUAUAUUGUGAAAGUGUAUAUUCGUGAUUUAUAAUUUCUGGUGCACUGGAGAAGGUGAAUCAAUUCAUAUAUGAAGAUACCAACUCAAUAUCUUCUAUCAUUUAAAGAAAAUUUUGUUUUAUGUUGAGUGCACUAAUAUCAUACGACAUUGAAAGUUGGUUUAGUAUUGCUUAGAUCCAGGUUGUUCAUAGGUCCCCGUUUUUUUUUAAAUAUUCGUUCUCCGAUCUUUUACAGUGUUUGAGUUUAGAAGACCUUAGUUUAUAAAGGUUUUCUGUAAAAUUCUAUUUGUCCCAUUUAAAGCCAUUGAAAAGCAUAUAACAAGUGACAAGUGUCUGUUUAGUGAGAUCCUGGAAGAAUAAAAUGCUUCUCUAGCUUACAUAUAGGUAUAUCUUCUCUCUUGUGAUAAUUCUCUAUACCCCAUCUUUCAAGGAUGUGAGUAAUCAUUUUUCAAUUCGAGGUACUUAUCAAUUAGUUAAGGACUCUUCCUCAGACAGCAUCUUCCACUUUCAAUUCAGCAACAGUGAUAAUUCAAGAGACUGUAGAAGUAUGUCAUCUGUGUAUGAAGUUUUUCUUUAGAUUUUGUAAAGAUUCCAAUGUCAUAUUUGUAACUGUUGUAUCAAUAUCUCUCAACCAGGCAAGGUAAACGAUUCAGAGCUCCGAGAAAAAGCUAUUUAGAGGUUGGAAUAGUCGUUGAAAAUUAGAAUUGCUGCAAAUAGCUCAUCUCUCACAAUGUAUAUUUCAUAAUAUUUUGAAUAUCAUGUAGAACUUUUUUCCAGAAUGCAUGAAAAAACUGUGAAGUGUUAACAUGUUGUGCACAUUGAAUCAACUUGAUAGUAUUACUUCCUUUCUGGUGAUUAUACUAUACACUUUAAGCAAGUAUGAUUUUUUUUUGGUGUUGAAUUUUUUAAAUUAAUCUUGUAGAUGUGCCACAACCAAUGGUGUCGGGCAUAAGCCCGUGUGAUCCACGGGCACCGGCCAUCUAGUAUUGAUAUAAUUAAGUAAUUUGUGGCUAUAUACGAGCGAAUUGGUGGUGGAAUCAAGAGGUAAAGCGGUAGUUGAGGCAUGAAUUGUAUUCGUGGCAUCGAGGUAAGUGUUUGGUCUAACCUUAGCUUGAGAGAUUAGGAGUUGUGUCCUAUUUGCUAUGUGUUAUUUGUUGAGUACAACGUAUAGGCAUGGUAAUGAGUGUCUAUACGUUGGAGUCAAGCAUGCCCGUGAGUCUUACAUUAUGAUUAUUAUGACUCCGUUUGUAUUGUUCAUGCCCUUUUGUGAUGAUUUCGAUUGUUGAGCAAAGUUUGUGGGAGUAAUUGAGGUAUUUGAGUAUUAUAGAGCAUUGGUUCAUGUUGUAUAGUGAAUUGUGGAAGUAUUAUUGGCAAUUGAACCUUAUAGAGUAUUAGCUCAAGUUGUGAAGUGAAUUGUGAAGUAAAAGUGGAAAAAAAAAAUUAUUAUAUUGUCUCACUUGCCGGGAUGUUGUUGUUUUAAUGCUAUCUCCCUUGCCAGGAUGUUGAUGCUUUUGAUAUUGUUCCCUUGCCGGGAUUUGAUUGUUGUACUAUUGUUCCCUUGCUGAGAUCUUAUUGUGAUUUCAUUUAUUUCCUUGCCCCUAUUGNNNNNNNNNNNNNNNNNNNNNNGAUAUACAAUUCCAUGCCGAUUAUAUUGAUAUUAUGGUGAGGAUGAGAGUAAAAGCACGAAGGGUGAUGCCGUGCAGUUUAUAUUGAUUCUUAUGGUGAGGACGAGAGCAAAAGCACGAAGAGUGAUGUCGUGCACUUGUCUGAUUUCUGAUUCUUCUUGAUAAUUGAUAUAUGGAGUUCUUUGUAUUUACUUGUUGUCUUUCUAUUUUUAGUUGAUGGUUCCCCGCAACAUGUUUCUCCCUCCCAUCCUUAAUUGUACAUUCCUGCUUUUAUUUUUCGAUGUAUAUGAUUUAAUUGCACAUGUUUAUUUGGUAGUUUGGUCCCUAGCCUCGUCGCUACUUCGGGGAGGUUAGGCUAGACACUUACCAGCACAUGGGGUCGGUUGUGCUGAUACUACAUUCUGCAUUGUGUGCAGUUCCCAGUGCAACAGCUUUUGGACCUUAGCUUGGGUGGCUGCCUUUAGUCCAUUCGGAGAUUCCGAGGUAGUCAUGUAGGCGUCCGCAGGCCUUGGAGUCUUUUCCUGUCCCUUUUAUUCUGUUUCUUUUACGUACUUCCGAAACAUUAUUGUAAUAAAUCUUUCGGACCUUUAUUUGUAGAAUUCCUAGAAAGUUUGUGGAUUUGUGGCACCAGUCUAGGGUAGUUCAUGUAUGGAUUGGCGUUGGUAUCUUUAUUAAAAUAUUAUUAUAGUCUUUCGCUUAUAAAUUUCGUUGUUUUAUCUAAUGUUGGCUAUUAAUUAUUAAAGGAUUAAAUGGGAAAAA
rnacentral:lncRNA from 1 species